AGAUCUCAGCUUUGAGAAAGACGUUGCGCGUUUCGUCUCCAGCAUUUAGAGACAUCAAGAAACGUAAAGGGAGAACUUAGAGGAAUCCAUCUUGUGACCAACAAGAUUUUCUUUCUCUUGCUCCAGAGAUUUCUGGUGGAUCUUGAUUUUUUUCCUGCAGAAAGAGAACAUAUUUUGGCUUGGGCAGGAGUCCACCCUGUCUGAUGCAUGCUGAAAAUGUAGGCGAUGGCAUUGUAUUGGGGUACAGGAUCCCCAAUAAAGCCUUGCAGGAUUCAGAAGCCACAGAAAUGUAUUUCCACUGGCAAUCCGAGACAAGGUACCUACAAACAUAGACGCAGUAGCCCAUGAGAACCUCACCGCUGGAACAUCCUCCGCCUCAACACUCGCCUGGCACCUGCUUUACUUUCUUUUAGCCCCAGGCCAAAACACAUAUUUUUAACCAGGAUUUUAAUUAAGGGUUUUUAUCUUACUGGUUUUGUAAUAUUCUGCCUUUGGUAAUAGUAAUAGUAAUAGUAAUAGUAAUAGUAAUAGUAAUAGUAAUAGUAAUAGUAAUAGUAAUAGUAAUAGUAAUAGUAAUAGUAAUAGUAAUAAGCCCUGACCUGGAUUUCCCAGGUGAGCCUGAUCUUGUCAGAUCUCAGAAGCUAAGCAGGGUCAGCCUUGGUUAGUAAAUGGGAGACCUCCAACAAAGACCAGGGUUGCAGAGGCAGGCAAUGGCAAACCACCUCUAUUAGUCUCUUCCUAUGAAAACCCCACCAGGGUUUGCCAUAAGUCAGUUAUGACUUCAGGGCACCAGACAGACACACAACAACAACAUUCUAGUUAUAUACUGCCCUUCAGGACAACUUAAUCCCCAAUCAGAGCGGUUUACAAAGUGUGUUGUUGUUAUCCUCACGACAAUCACCCUGUGAGGCGGGUGGCUCUGGAAGAGUGACCCAAGGGUCACCCAGCUGGCUUCAAGCGGAAGAGUGAGGAAUCAAACCCAGUUCUCCAGAUUAGAGUCCCUUAACUACUACACCAGUUUUUAUGCAGCUUGUUUUCUCAUGGCUUUUUAAAAUCGGCUUGUUUUUAUUGUAAUGUUUUUAUCUGUAAGACACCUCCAGGAGGAUUCUGAAGAGGUGGCACAGGAAUAUUCUGUAUGAACAAAUGGAUUUGUUCUCAAUA